UUCCUUUAAUGUUUCUUGUCAUCGCUUCUUCUGUUCUUCUUUCUUCCUUUGAAAAGAGUAAAUCAUAGUACAUUGGUCAUCUUCUCUGCAUCCCGACUACGUACUCUUAUGUGCUUAUAAGAGUGACUCAUUAACCUGAAAGUCACAUGAUUGAGCUAAAAUUUCAAUAUCUUUUGCAUCUUACUCCCUUUGCCUUAGUUGUCACUGUUCUUCUUGACUUCAGUGGUCUCCCAUUGACCACUCUUCUUGUCUUUCAGGUCCCCUCUAAGGUGAAUUCUUACAGCUUCAGUUACUUGCUGUGCCCAACAUGAUGUUGGCACAUCAACUGUGAUGGAAAUUUACCAAUCCUUCCUCCUCUUGGCCUUCCUUUCUCUUGGCCACUUAAACCUAAUGCAUGUGCACUGAUAAAGCGAUUUCCUUCCCUGUUUUAUCCUUUUCUGCUGCUGUCUUCUGUAUAAUUACAUCAAGCACAAAUAUUCUCUGUUUCCUUUCCAGGUUUCUAUCUGUUCAUUCAUUUUAAUGACUUGUUGAUUUGCAUCCUCUCUAUGCCAGGAAUUCUAGCCUCAUUUGCCUGGAUAUCCAGUUUCCCACUGAGUAAACACAUGCUUUCUUCAUUGCGGAUGGAAGACCCUUUGGAUACUAGUCUUUAAAAUCUGUAUCUGAUCAUUUUGCUAGGCAUUUUUACUGUGCUGCCUACACAACAGUGCCAGUAAGCAUGAUUAUGCAGGCAUCCAAAGAAAUAAAAAGGCCUAUUCUGUGUAUUUUUUUGCCCACACAUUUACAUGUAUGUGACUGAACUAUUCAUAGAUUUGCUUCUAUGUGUGUGAUUUGCCUAAACAGGAUCAAAGUAAUUGAGGAGACACUGUGAGUAAGUAUAUAAAUAGCUGGUCUGUGACUUAAGUUUUGAUGGCACAGCUUUGGCAUGCUUUGAAAAGUCACCUGCUUGUGUCUCUGUUUCCUUAUCUUUGAAAUGGGAAUGAUUUUGCUUACCCAGUUUACCAAGUAAUUUGAGACCAAGUCAUAAAAUGUGCUAUGUAAUAACCAUACAGUGUUGUUUUUCCUGUCCCAUUCUUCCUCAUUAUGUGUCACACCAACUGGUUUCAUCUGCUGGUACAUUAGACCAUGGACGUCU
rnacentral:lncRNA from 1 species